UCCUCUAUAGUGUAGUGGUUAGCAUAUCAGAUUUUCAGUACCAGUCAAUACUAUCUCUGAAGACCCGGGUUCAAACCCCGGUGGAGGAA